rnacentral:rRNA from 2 species
UCCGUAGGUGAACCUGCGGAAGGAUCAUUACCGAGUGAGGGCCCUCUGGGUCCAACCUCCCACCCGUGUCUAUCGUACCUUGUUGCUUCGGCGGGCCCGCCGUUUCGACGGCCGCCGGGGAGGCCUUGCGCCCCCGGGCCCGCGCCCGCCGAAGACCCCAACAUGAACGCUGUUCUGAAAGUAUGCAGUCUGAGUUGAUUAUCGUAAUCAGUUAAAACUUUCAACAACGGAUCUCUUGGUUCCGGCAUCGAUGAAGAACGCAGCGAAAUGCGAUAAGUAAUGUGAAUUGCAGAAUUCAGUGAAUCAUCGAGUCUUUGAACGCACAUUGCGCCCCCUGGUAUUCCGGGGGGCAUGCCUGUCCGAGCGUCAUUGCUGCCCUCAAGCACGGCUUGUGUGUUGGGCCCCCGUCCCCCUCUCCCGGGGGACGGGCCCGAAAGGCAGCGGCGGCACCGCGUCCGGUCCUCGAGCGUAUGGGGCUUUGUCACCUGCUCUGUAGGCCCGGCCGGCGCCAGCCGACACCCAACUUUAUUUUUCUAAGGUUGACCUCGGAUCAGGUAGGGAUACCCGCUGAACUUAAGCAUAUCAAUAAGCGGAGGA